AGAGUUUGAUCCUGGCUCAGGAUGAACGCCAGCUACAGGCUUAACACAUGCAAGUCGAGGGGCAGCGCGGCGGAAGCUUGCUUCCGCUGGCGGCGACCGGCGCACGGGUGCGUAACGCGUAUCCAACUUGCCCUUGUCCCGGGGAUAGCCUCGCGAAAGCGAGAAUAAUACCCGGUGUAGCCACGGUUCCGCAUGGGAUUGUGGCGAUAGGUCCCGCCGGACAAGGAUAGGGAUGCAUCCCAUUAGG
rnacentral:rRNA from 1 species